CCUACGGUGGGCAGCAGUGGGGAAUAUUGCACAAUGGGCGAAACCCUGAUGCAGCGACGCCGCGUGAGUGAAUAAGUAAUUCGUUAUGUAAAGCUCUAUCAGCAGGGAAGAAAAUGACGGUACCUGAGUAAGAAGCCCCUGCUAACUACGUGCCAGCAGCCGCGGUAAAUCGUAGGGGGCAAGCGUUAUCCGGCUUGACUGGGUGUAAAGGGAGCGUAGACGGCAGUGCAAGGCUGGAGUGAAAGGCGGGGGCACAACCCCCGGACUGCUCUGGAAACUGUGCGGCUGGAGGGCAGGAGAGGUAAGUGGAAGUCCUAGUGUAGCGGUGAAAUGCGUAGAUAUUAGGAGGAACACCAGUGGCGAAGGCGGCUUACUGGACUAUAACUGACGUUGAGGCUCGAAAGCGUGGGGAGCAAACAGGAUUAGAUACCCCAGUAGUC
rnacentral:rRNA from 1 species